CCUACGGGAGGCAGCAGUAAGGAAUAUUGGACAAUGCUCGCAAGAGUGAUCCAGCCAUGCCGCGUGCAGGAAGAAUGCCCUAUGGGUAGUAAACUGCUUUUGAACUAGAGAAAACCCCAGUACGUGUACUGGGCUGAUAGUAUAGUUAGAAUAAGCAUCGGCUAACUUCGUGCCAGCAGCCGCGGUAAGACGAAGGAUGCAAGCGUUAUCCGGAUUCAUUGGGUUUAAAGGGAGCGUGGGUGGACUGAUAAGUCAGUGGUGAAAUCUCCGAGCUUAACUCGGAAAUUGCCAUUGAUACUGUUGGUCUUGAGUACAGUUGCUGUGGGCGGAAUAUGACAUGUAGUGGUGAAAUACAUAGAGAUGUCAUAGACACCGAUUGCGAAGGCAGCUCACAAAGCUGUAACUGACACUGAGGCUCGAAAGUGCGGGGAUCAAACAGGAUUAGAUACCCUGGUAGUCCGCACCGUAAACGAUGAUUACUCGCUGCUAGGGGGCAACCUUUAGUGGCUUAGCGAAAGCGAUAAGUAAUCCACCUGGGGAGUACGCCGGCAACGGUGAAACGUUAAAGGAAUUAGACGG
rnacentral:rRNA from 1 species